rnacentral:tRNA from 5 species
GCCUCCGUAGCUCAGUUGGUAGAGUAUUUCCAUGGUAAGGAAGUGGUCGUCAGUUCGAUUCUGAUUGGAGGCU